GGCUCGGUGGGUGGCAUUCUUCCCCUGCGACCCUACCCUGGGCUGUCCCUCUUCCCCAACAACCUCCUCUGCAGUCCCUGAGUCCCUGCCUCCCCCUGCUUCCUGCUGGCAGGCGGCUACCCUCCCUCCUCCAUUCCCUGACACUCUUUGGUGCCUGGAUCCCUGUGUGAAUCCGGCCUCUCUCUUACCCUCUGCAAAGCACGUCCUUGUUCAGAGUAGUCCCCGAGUUUGCUCACUUUUCCCUUAGAGAAGCCAAGGCCUUAGACCUCAGGGCUCAGCCUGCCCGCUUUUCGGGCCAAGUUUGUACCCAGCUCAACUGGGAAGCCCUCCCCAGCUCCACAGGAAAAAUUAAUCCCUCUUUCUCAGUCUUCCCAGAGCACUGGGUUUAUCCACCGGGAUAGUGUGUACUGUGGCACACAGCAGAGAGCUGCAUGUGAGACUCAGCCACGGGCUGCAUGCUCCUGGAACAUGGGAAAUGCCCCACAUGACUUCUGUCCCUGCUUUAGGAUCCACAGACAGGCAAGAGCAGGUCCUGUUGAUGGGCAGAGAGGUGGCGUGGAUGUAGGAAGUAUGCGGGAGGACGGGGCUGAAACAUGAGGACCAGUCCCCGGAGACGGGGUGUCAAUCACAGGGGACUCUGCCCAGGGUGAGGGGCUACAGAGAGCUUUUGUAAUGGGAAGGGCCAGAGGUGAGCUGAUUAGAAAAAGCCGAUGAUGAGUCCUGGGGGCAGAAGACAUAUCAAGAAAGUGGAGGACUGGUUCAAGGAAAUUUCUGGGCGUGGAAACCCAGAAUCACGCUGUCUUCCCGAGUGGCUGCCUGGCCGAGGUAGAGACAAAGUCCUACAGACAGAACAGUUCUAGGAGCAAACUUGAACCUCUCUGGGAAUUGAGGCCAGAGGAGGGAAACAGGAAACAGAGGCAGUGAUGAUGACCUGAUUGUUGGGGUCAAUUCUGUCACCCUGCAUUGAGCAUUGGGUGACCUACAAAUUACCAAGCUCCCUCUGGUUAGUGCUUCAAGAUGUCUUACAGCCUGCUGAUUAAUCACGGGUUGCACUGAAAAGGAAUGUGUGUAGAUUCAAGGGCCUGAUCUCCGGAGGACCUGAGUCUGGAUCCGUGGGUGGGGGCAGCACAGAGUUUCUGGUGUUGGCACGCCAGGGAAUCAUCUGUGUGCGUCCUCUCUUAGGGACAGUGAAAACAUGCUCUGGUCCCAGGCAAAUGACAAUGACGGGGUUAUAGUCACAUCAGG
rnacentral:lncRNA from 9 species